rnacentral:rRNA from 1 species
AUUGAACGCUGGCGGCAGGCCUAACACAUGCAAGUCGAACGAGUGGCGGACGGGUGAGUAAUGUCUGGGAAACUGCCUGAGGGAGGGGGAUAACUAAUGGAAACGGUAGCUAAUACCGCAUACCAUCAGAUGUGCCCAGAUGGGUUUAGCUUGUGGGGGGGGUAACGGCUGCCGAAGGCGACGAUCCCUAGCUGGUCUGAGAGGAUGACCCGCCACACUGGAACUGAGACACGGUCCAGACUCCUACGGGAGGCAGCAGUGGGGAAUAUGGCACAAUGGGGGAAAGCCGGAUGCAGCCAUGCCGCGUGUAGGAAGAAGGCCUUCGGGUUGUAAAGUACUUUCAGCGGGGAGGCGUUACCCGCAGAAGAAGCACCGGCUAACUCCGUGCCAGCAGCCGCGGUAAUAC